UAACACCAACUGGAGGUCCGAACCCACACCGUGUUGAAAAAGGUCGGGAUGACUUGUGCCUAGGGGUGAAAGGCCAAUCAAAUCUGGAAGAUAGCUGGUUCUCCGCGAAAGCUAUUUAGGUAGCGCCUCGGACGAAUACCUUCGGGGGUAGAGCACUGCAUGGGUGAUGGGGUCCCACAGACUUACUGAGCCUAAGCAAACUCCGAAUACCGAAGAGUACUAUCCGGGAGACACACGGCGGGUGCUAACGUCCGUCGUGAAGAGGGAAACAACCCUGACCUACAGCUAAGGCCCCUAAUUCGUGGCUAAGUGGGAAAGCAUGUGGGAUUUCCAAAAACAACCAGGAGGUUGGCUUAGAAGCAGCCAUCCUUUAAAGAUAGCGUAACAGCUCACUGGUCUAAACAAGAGAUCCUGCGGCGAAGAUGUAACGGGG
rnacentral:rRNA from 1 species